rnacentral:lncRNA from 1 species
CUGUGGAGGUGGAGAGGGCAACGUAGUCUUGAGAGUUCAUCAGAGUCACAGCUGUUAGGGAAGUGCCUGGGCCUGGGGCCAAGGUGGACAGUGAAACAGGAAGGCUGCCCCCAUUUCCACAUGUGCUCACAUGGGGCUCCCCCACCUGAGGCCUCCAACUACAGGUGCACCCCUCCCCUGACAGCACCCACCUCUGGUGGGAGUCUUCUGUAUGAUUAAUAAAAAGCGUAGUAAUAAUAAUCAUAUGUAAUGGCCAUGGUAUAUUGAGUGUUACUUUUUUUUUUUUUUUAGACAAGGUCUCACUCUGUCACCCAGGCUGGAGUACAGUGUCAUGACACUGCAGCCUCAACUUGCCAGGCUCAAGUCAUCCUCCUGCCUCAGCCUCCCUAAUAGCUGGGACCGUAGGCAUGCACAAGCACACCCAGCUAAUUUUUUUUGAUUGUUUGUACAGACAGGGACCUACUCCCUUUGUGCCACAGAUUGAGCUUGACAGAUGGCCCAGAGGGUGAGGGGGCUUUCAGGAACUUGUCUGGGCUCUAUUGUUUAUGAACCAUGAGAUCUUUGCAGGCUCCUUAACCUUUCUGUGCCUCUGUUUCCUCCUCUGUGAAAUGGAGAGAAUGGCUCCAACCUCUGCCUUGUGAGGGUGCACUGAAGCAAUGUGUGUGUAACAGGCUCCGGACAGCGCAGGGCGCACAGUGAGUGCACUACUCUUCGGUCAUCCAGCACUCUUAGGAGGACGUGUUUCAUCCCAUGGAAUCCUCACCAGCCAUGUGUGAGGAGUGCUCACUUUACAGAUGAGGAAACAGGCUUGGCAAUAUCAGGUAACCUGCCUGAGGCCACCUGGCCUCCCUUCUGCUCCGGCAGAAGCCCCACCCUGGCCUGGGUAAGCCUGGGAGCCAGUGCCACAUCCUGAUGGGGAUGUGGACAGGGAACAGGCAGCCUCUCCGCCCUCCAGUGCCCUGAGGAGCAGCCUCCAGAGGAAGAGGAGUUGCCAGUCUCCCUGGCCUGCCAGGAAAAGGUGCUGAUCUCUCCCUGAAACCCAAGGGUCAGUUCAAGAGAUAGGAAUUGUGACUGUCUGUUGCUCCCCCAGGGUGUGUGUGUGCCUGUGCCCAGGCACUGAGCAGUGGCUCAAGGGCAGAGUCCAGGGGAGGACAAAGACCACCAGGUCACCUAGAGGGUUGUGCUCACCUGCACCUGCUGCCACAACCCCACAAGCUACUACAAACCUUGGAUCAGCCUCACUGCUCUGUAGUAUGCUAAGCAAAUUAUAUCUGGAGUUGAAUAAGACAGUCUGUCCAUUCCCCCACCUCACUCCUCACUGCUUCUUGGAUAGGCAGGGUGCGCUCCUGCCUCAAGACCUCACACCUGCUGUCGCUCUACCCAGAGAGCUCCUCCCCACAUGGCUCACUCUCUCCUCCUUCUGUUGUCUGCUCCCAGUGAGGUCUUCCCUGGCCAUCCUACAUAAAAUACCACCCCACCCCAGCACUCCCUACCCCCUAGCAAAUAGCAGUAUAUUUUGCUUAAUUUCCUGUGUCUUGUUCUAUCAUUUGUCUUCCCUUCCAGAAUAUCGGCAUCAUGAGGGCAGGGACUUUUGCAGCUUUAUUUAUUUAUAGCAGUUUUAUCAUCUAUUAUAUCUCCAGACCUAGACUGCCAUUCAGGCACACCAUAGGUGCUCAAUAAGUAUUUGAACGAAUGAAUGAACCCCUGUGCACCUGGCUAGUGUAUUAUGGGAGUCAGACAACUCACUGCAGCCCCUAGAUACUCAGGGGGAUCCCAGGCCGGCACCAUGGGCAUCACCUUGGGUGCUUGUUAGAAAUGCUUAUUCUUGGACCCCACCCCAGACCUGUUGAAUCAGAAACUGCAUUUUACUGAGAUCAUUGGAUGAUUCCCAAAUGCA